rnacentral:lncRNA from 1 species
CCUUUAUAACACGAACCUUGCUAGAGUAAGUACGCCACUGUUGCAUGCUUUGAGUUUAUUCCCUCAUCCACUUUCUGCCUCCUUUUCUCUCUCUCUUCCUGUUCUUGUAGGCAUCAGAAUUACCUGCCAAAGUAAACUCGUAAACCUCUGGAUCCUAAGCCAAAGAAACAAAACAAAACAAAACAAAAAAACAUUUCUUCAAAUUGAUUUUGUUCUUGACAUCCGAGAAGUAAUGAGUACAACCCCCAAAUAUCCAUUGAAACCAACCAUCACAAGGAAAUGGGAACACUAUUGGAAGCUUAGAAAAUUAAAUUCUAAAAAAACAAAAAAAAA